rnacentral:lncRNA from 1 species
AAUUUCCCAAACUCAUCAGUGGGGAAUCAUAAAGAUACUAAGAAUACAGGAAAAAACAAAAACCAGGAACCUUGCCUUGUAACCAUCUCCUAUCGCAGGGAGAAAUUGAGACACAGAGACCGACACCAAAGAGAGAAGAUGAUAUGAGGAGACACAGGGAGAAGAUGGACAUUUAACAGCUGAGGAACACAAGACUACCAGAAGCUAGGAGAGAGGCCUGAAACAGAUCCUUUCUCAGUUCCUUCAGAGGGAUCAUGGCCCUGCUGACACCUUGAUUUCAGACUUCUGGCCUCCAGAACUAUGAAAUGCCUGGUGUUUUCCACUGCAGUGCACUAUAUGGUAUACUAGGGGCACUGAGCUGUAGUUAGUACAUCAUGAUCAAUAGCUUUAUGGAUUUUGAUUGA